rnacentral:misc_RNA from 1 species
UUUCCGUAGGUGAACCUGCGGAAGGAUCAUUAUUGAUUAUAAAAUUUGGUCAGGCUGUUGCUGAUCUCUAGGGAUAUGUGCACGCCUGCUUCCAACUUUUUAUCUACCACCUGUGCACCUUUUGUAGAUGCUAGAUAUCUGUCGAGUGCCCAAGCUCGGUGUCGAGGACUGCUGUUAGCUUUCCUUGCAUGUCUGCUCUACGUCUUUUCAUUCAUACACACUGCAUGAUCACAGAAUGUAAUUGAUAGGCUUUAUUGCCUUUAAAACUUAAUACAACUUUCAACAACGGAUCUCUUGGCUCUC